UACGGAAGGCAGCAGUGGGGAAUAUUGCACAAUGGGCGCAAGCCUGAUGCAGCCAUGCCGCGUGUAUGAAGAAGGCCUUCGGGUUGUAAAGUACUUUCAGUCGUGAGGAAGGUGUUAAGGUUAACAACCUUAGCAAUUGACGUUAGCGACAGAAGAAGCACCGGCUAACUCCGUGCCAGCAGCCGCGGUAAUACGGAGGGUGCGAGCGUUAAUCGGAAUUACUGGGCGUAAAGGGCACGCAGGCGGUUAAUUAAGUUGGAUGUGAAAUCCCCGGGCUUAACCUGGGAAUGGCAUUCAAGACUGGUUAGCUAGAGUCUUGUAGAGGGGGUUAGAAUUCCAUGUGUAGCGGUGAAAUGCGUAGAGAUGUGGAGGAAUACCGGUGGCGAAGGCGGCCCCUGGACAAAGACUGACGCUCAUGUGCGAAAGCGUGGGGAGCAAAC
rnacentral:rRNA from 1 species